UACAGAGGGGGCAAGCGUUGUUCGGAAUUACUGGGCGUAAAGGGCGCGUAGGCGGCCUGCUAAGUCGAACGUGAAAUCCCUGGGCUCAACCCAGGAACUGCGUCCGAUACUGGUUGGCUUGAAUCCGGGAGAGGGAUGUGGAAUUCCAGGUGUAGCGGUGAAAUGCGUAGAUAUCUGGAGGAACACCGGUGGCGAAGGCGGGUUGCUGGGCCGACACUGACGCUGAUGCGCGAAAGCCAGGGGAGCGAACGGG
rnacentral:rRNA from 1 species